CGAAAGCCUGACGGAGCAAUACCGCGUGAGGGAGGAAGGUUUUUGGACUGUAAACCUCUUUUUUAAAGGAAGAAGAAAGUGACGGUACUUUAAGAAUAAGCAUCGGCUAACUCCGUGCCAGCAGCCGCGGUAAUACGGAGGGUGCAAGCGUUAUCCGGAAUUAUUGGGCGUAAAGAGUCCGUAGGUGGUCAUGCAAGUCUGCUGUCAAAGCCCACAGCUCAACUGUGGAUCGGCGGUGGAAACUGCAUGACUUGAGUACGGUAGGGGUAGAGGGAAUUCCCAGUGUAGCGGUGAAAUGCGUAGAUAUUGGGAAGAACACCGGUGGCAAAAGCGCUCUACUGGACCGUAACUGACACUGAGGGACGAAAGCCAAGGUAGCG
rnacentral:rRNA from 1 species